rnacentral:rRNA from 1 species
UGGGGAAUAUUGGACAAUGGACCAAGAGUCUGAUCCAGCAAUUCUGUGUGCACGAUGAAGUUUUUCGGAAUGUAAAGUGCUUUCAGUUGGGAAGAAAGAAAUGACGGUACCAACAGAAGAAGUGACGGCUAAAUACGUGCCAGCAGCCGCGGUAAUACGUAUGUCACGAGCGUUAUCCGGAUUUAUUGGGCGUAAAGCGCGUCUAGGUGGUUAUGUAAGUCUGAUGUGAAAAUGCAGGGCUCAACUCUGUAUUGCGUUGGAAACUGUAUAACUAGAGUACUGGAGAGGUAAGCGGAACUACAAGUGUAGAGGUGAAAUUCGUAGAUAUUUGUAGGAAUGCCGAUGGGGAAGCCAGCUUACUGGACAGAUACUGACGCUAAAGCGCGAAAGCGUGGGUAGCAAACAGGAUUAGAUACCCUGGUAGUCCACGCUGUAAACGAUGAUUACUAGGUGUUGGGGGUCGAACCUCAGCGCCCAAGCAAACGCGAUAAGUAAUCCGCCUGGGGAGUACGUACGCAAGUAUG